rnacentral:lncRNA from 1 species
UUCCAGGACAGCCAGGGCUACACGGAGAAACCCUGUAUCGAAAAGACAAAAAAAAACAAAAACAAAAACAAAAAACAUGGUCAGGAUAGUGCCUGAAGCGUAAGGCUAAUGCUGUUUGAAUGCUAGCAAUGGCAAGAUUUAAGAGGACCCACGUUGAGGGAACACAGACUUUUCUAGAAAAGAAUCAGAAUAUUUGCACAGAAGUUGGUAGUAAUUCAUGUCCAAGUUUAUUUUGGUAGAAAGUACUUAUUUCUUGAAUUGGUUUAUGGAAUCUUUUGAUGUCUUAUUUUAUAAAAGGCUUUCAAAAUAUUUGGAAGCCAAGCAUAUUUCAUGGUCACAAAGACACCUUUAAUUGCUUCCAUAAAGUUGUGGUCUGUCUGCCUUCUUUUCUGACAAAGUGACAUUUAUUAGCAUUUCUCUCGUAGUUAUUUGUAAUUGCACGAAUGUUCACCAUUUCCGACGUUACAAUGAAAUCUUUUGAGAUUCUAGUCACAUUUCUAAGCAGAUGUACCAAAUUACAGCUUAAGACUUCUGCUUGAAAUGUGAAGUUCCAAUUAGUAAAAUAUCUGGGGUGGGAUGGGUUAGCAAAGAAGGACCUGAGAAUACAUAAUGCCCAAAAUAGUUUGCUAUCUCCUUGUUAACAUUGCUCCCACCCAAACUUAACUCAUCAGCAUGUAUGAGGUGCCACGUCUCCCACAAACCGCUUGGUUUCCUUUUCACCCAAGUUUAACUGGGUUGCUCUGGCUGAAUUUAGUCGGGAAGGAGAAUUUGGAGGAUACAGGAAGCAGCUGAGUCUGUGUGGAGCACUGCUGUGACUUGGGUGUCUGUGGCUCAUCUGUUCUUCUCCACUUCCAUCGGAACCACAGAUCAUGUACAGAUCUGGCCAUAUGGGCUUUUUACAUGUCUCUUAAAGCAAAUCUAUAAUACUUGUUACUUUCCACUCGUUCUAAGAGCCCUUGUAACUGUCCUCUUCCAUACUGUUUCUUUCCCUUAAAGUAACCAUUGCAUCUGGGAAGUUUGCAGUUUAUUUUAAGACCAACACCUAAAUUCUUUUACCAAUAAGUCUUUCUUAUAAGAGAGGAACAUUUGUGUUUCUUCAACACUUACAUAUUUAAUUUUAGUUGCGUUGGGAGGGAAGUGGUGUGGUCUAAAGGAAAGAACGUGUGUGGUAAAGUAUCACCAGCUUUGCUCACGACUAUUUUUGCUGCUAACUUCAGAGAUUUGGUGUUCUCAACAUAAAGUGAGAGCGAUGGAGCUCAUCUUCCAGGGGCUUUGCUUCCUUCAUUUCCUCAUCCUCCCUUCAUGUGUUGAACACUUACUCAGUGUUAAACACAGCGGCCCCACCAGGGAGAGUGAUGAGAGGCGUGGUCUAUGUCACCAUGAAACCCAUAAUCCACUGAGAAAAAGAUGAGGUAAGUAGGUACUUACAAAUGACAAAUGGCCUAAAACAGGCAGUGCAGGCCAUGGGACCAACGCAAGUAUCAAACAAAGGCCAUCACACGGUCUCUGUACGAGUGAGAGGUAGGACUGCUCACAUGGACUAGCACAUAAACAAAGGCUGAUGUCUUGGAUUCUUGGCUGCUCUUAACAAGUCUUGUAAAUACUUUUAUCAGAGUCCCACUUCUCAAUUCCUCUCAACCUUUGAAAACAACUUGUCCUUAUCACCUUUUACCUUGCACAGGUGCCUACAUCUCAUGCCAGGUUUUGUUUGUUCCACUUGCUGUGAUGAGUCAGUCAAUUUGUCAUGAUUUCUCUGAGAUUUUGGUCUGGCCAGUUGUACAACACUGUUCUUUUUAUCUCUUUUCUAUAGAAUAGGCUGGCUGUUUUCUCUACCAUUUUACCCAUCUCUUUCAAAAAUCAAAUAACUUAAUCUCUUUAGAAUAGGCUUUAUUUAUCAAAUAAAUAAAUUCAGUCUCUUCGUAUAAAUAUAGAGUACUUUCAUCUACUGGGAAUGUGAGCAUCAAGAAGCUGAAUAAUCAUUCUCUUUAGGACCAACACUGUAGUCCUCAUUGUAGUUGCGUGUUCUUUGAUUCUGCCAGCCUACUGUGGCUCCUGAGGCAGAGAAUCAAAUGUGUUUGUUUGCUUCUAUGGUCACUAGCAUAUAAAAAUGCUUCAUGGUCAGCACUUG